rnacentral:rRNA from 1 species
AGUGAACGCUGGCGGUAGGCCUAACACAUGCAAGUCGAACGGCAGCACAGUAAGAGCUUGCUCUUACGGGUGGCGAGUGGCGGACGGGUGAGGAAUACAUCGGAAUCUACCUUUUCGUGGGGGAUAACGUAGGGAAACUUACGCUAAUACCGCAUACGACCUACGGGUGAAAGCAGGGGAUCUUCGGACCUUGCGCGAUUGAAUGAGCCGAUGUCGGAUUAGCUAGUUGGCGGGGUAAAGGCCCACCAAGGCGACGAUCCGUAGCUGGUCUGAGAGGAUGAUCAGCCACACUGGAACUGAGACACGGUCCAGACUCCUACGGGAGGCAGCAGUGGGGAAUAUUGGACAAUGGGCGCAAGCCUGAUCCAGCCAUACCGCGUGGGUGAAGAAGGCCUUCGGGUUGUAAAGCCCUUUUGUUGGGAAAGAAAAGCAGCAGGUUAAUACCCCGCUGUUCUGACGGUACCCAAAGAAUAAGCACCGGCUAACUUCG